rnacentral:tRNA from 1 species
GUUGGUGAGUAUUCCCGCCUGUCACGCGGGUGGCCCAGGUUCGAUCCCUGGCAGCAACA